GCAAGUCGAGGGGCAGCAUGAUUGAAGCUUGCUUCAAUUGAUGGCGACCGGCGCACGGGUGAGUAACGCGUAUCCAACCUUCCGUACACUCAGGGAUAGCCUUUCGAAAGAAAGAUUAAUACCCGAUGGUAUGAUGAGAUUGCAUGAUAGCAUCAUUAAAGAUUUAUCGGUGUACGAUGGGGAUGCGUUCCAUUAGGUAGUAGGCGGGGUAACGGCCCACCUAGCCGACGAUGGAUAGGGGUUCUGAGAGGAAGGUCCCCCACAUUGGAACUGAGACACGGUCCAAACUCCUACGGGAGGCAGCAGUGAGGAAUAUUGGUCAAUGGACGAGAGUCUGAACCAGCCAAGUAGCGUGAAGGAUGAAGGUCCUACGGAUUGUAAACUUCUUUUAUAAGGGAAUAAAACCUCCCACGUGUGGGAGCUUGUAUGUACCUUAUGAAUAAGCAUCGGCUAACUCCGUGCCAGCAGCCGCGGUAAUACGGAGGAUGCGAGCGUUAUCCGGAUUUAUUGGGUUUAAAGGGAGCGCAGACGGGUCGUUAAGUCAGCUGUGAAAGUUUGGGGCUCAACCUUAAAAUUGCAGUUGAUACUGGCGUCCUUGAGUGCGGUUGAGGUGUGCGGAAUUCGUGGUGUAGCGGUGAAAUGCUUAGAUAUCACGAAGAACUCCGAUUGCGAAGGCAGCACACUAAGCCGUAACUGACGUUCAUGCUCGAAAGUGUGGGUAUCAAACAGGAUUAGAUACCCUGGUAAUCCACACGGUAAACGAUGGAUACUCGCUGUUGGCGAUAUACAGUCAG
rnacentral:rRNA from 1 species